rnacentral:rRNA from 1 species
UUCAACCCCCACGUCCCAGCUUAGCGCUCACCUCCCUAUUCCUAAUCCAAAAGCGGGGAAAAUGGUAACCACUCGGUACACCCCUCCACCCCUCCUCCGUUGUUAAAAGAAAAAACAUUUUCCUAUCUCAUCUCUCCAUCCCACGAUUCCUCUCUGACCCGAGCUCCAUGGCCAUGACGCUGCCGCCAUGACCUCCAUUUGGGCCUAGCUCCGGCGCUCUUCUGCGUCGUUGCUCGCUGGCCUCAACUCCCCAUGAGUGCCAUCCUCAGAUCCUCCGUCGCCGCGACAUCCUCCGAGUCCGGGCCCCUGCACGUGCCCCUGCAGCAACCCGCCACCACGGGUCACCGGCGCGGCUCCUGCUCCUUCGGUUUUUCGGCUCACUGACCCAGGCGUCUCCGCACGAGCGGCUGCCGCCACUGGCUCAACCGUGCUGCUCUGCCACGGCUACCUCGACUCCCAUGCCAAAUGGUUGAGUGAGACACUCCUCCCCUCUGCUCUUAUCCUCUCUGGUCCUGUGUGGCAUACCUAGGUUUGUCGUCUGGCCUCGUAGAUUACGGCUGGAUAUAGCAAGAACCGCGACCGCUCUUCCUAUGGAGGUUGCCAUGGUCGCCUAUGGCCUACCCCACCGCUCACCUGGAUUUAUCUCCCUCAAGAACGUGGUUGUCCCAUUAUCCCCAAUAAUCCAUUUCCCCCCUAAUUUAACAACAUGGUGGCUUCUAUAAUUCCAUUGGCAUUUGGUGCCUAGCUUCUCUAAACUUCCACUUGUGCCAUGGAUGGACCAAUUAGAACGAGAUUGGAAAACAUCUCUGUCCCCUUCCAAUUAAAUUGGUCAAUGAAUAUUGGUACUAAUGUAUUUAAGUUAUGGCUAGUGAUCCUCUUUUACGUUGGAGGAAACCUGAUCCUCUAAUUUUGCUAUACAUGUUUUUGCUGGUGAUCCUCUGCUUUAGUUGUGCAGACCAUAAUAAUUGUGCGAUGCACCUAUACUAUCUGUAUGUAUUUUCCACAUGGCUAUCAUACUCUAGAGUGCCACAUCAUACUGCAGAAAAAUAAUAAUUUUACCUUGGAUGACUAUUCACCAGUCUUGUUUUGAUAUCAAUGCCUGCAUCUUUCGUGGCUUAUGUGGAGAGAAUCUAGUUUUCCGUUGAAACAGGGGUGAUUGCGCAUUAUUUAUUUACUCUUACAAAAGCUUCCGAUUUCAUGGAGAAAUCAAUACUACAAGUGCAUAACCUCUCCUUAUUCAGUAAUGUGAAGCAUGAGUAUACAUAACAGCACUACAAAGGUAUAUGAAUCAUAGUCUAGAUAUCUCACACUUGCCAGCAUGCGAAGUAUGUAGGUAAAAAUUUGAUUCAUCCGAACUAUUUUCUUUAGCUUCAGAUACUUCUAAAUACUUUAAUGUUUGUAUUUAUUUGCAUGCUAGGAUGAAUUGCAAUCAUAUUUGGACCAGAAGGAUGCAGCACAACAAAAACGCUUCACAGGAUGCCACACUGCAUCUUUUAUUCUCACUAGUAUUUGAAUUUUAAGUUGUUGCUUAGUGAACUAUGGUCUUGCAGGUUUCCCCUAAUAUUAAAGAUACAAAGCUACCUGAGGUAUUCAGCUUGCGAAUUUCAUGAGUGUUGGGAAGAUAAAUUGCCAGCAAUGAUGGGAGCACCUCAAUGACAUCACGUAGGUGUGGUGUUCAUCAAUCCCUUGUUUCUUUGUGUGUGUGUGUGUGCGCACGCGCGCGCUUGUGUGCGCGCGUCGUGUGUACAUGAAUUCAUCUUUAUAUGCCAUGUUGAUUGCUCAUUUAGAUUCAGGAUGCAGGCAGACACUUCCGCGGCACUUCCCCAACGUCCGCAACCAAAAUAGCAGGAUUAGCAGUAUACACAGGUUUUCACUGCUAGCUACGCCCGGCGGGCACAUGCGGUGGUCCGUGUCUCAGUUAAGCUACUUUUGAGUUUCGUCUAGUGCUAAGUACAGUACACUAGUUUGUAUACUUGCUGCUAUACAGUAUACACAUUCAGGUGUCACUAUCCACAUUCAGAUUUCUAGUUUGUAAUCAUACACGCUUAUGUAGACAAUUAGCUAGGUCAUCCGGACAUACAAGCUCAUGCAGACACAUUCAAAAUAUGUAGACAUUCAGACCAAAGUGAUAUAUCAUCUUCAUAUUCUGAAUCCUAAGUCAUAAUUUCUUUGUACAAAAUAAUAGCUUGUAGUAAAUAAAUGCAGUAGAUGUGCAUGCACUAUUCCUUCAAGAAUUCAGAAUAUCCAGGUUAUCAGUAUUACUCUUCCUGUAGUACCAUCCGGACAUUGCACUGGAUAAACAACCUAGCUUCCUUUUUCUCAUGACCAUCAUAUAUAGUUAAACAAGCUUAGCAGAUGAUUAAUGAAGUCUAGGGAUAAGCGAAGAACAAUGUGCUAGGAACUUACAUUAGCGAUCAUGUGCCGCAACUUAGAAUUUGAAGUUUUUGUUUGAUAUUUGCAGGCGUUAGUAGAAGUUCUUACAUCUAAAUUAUUCUUUCUAUCCCCGCAAAAAAAUUUAUUCUUUCUAACAUCGUCCGAGAAGACAUCACUUCUUGCCUAAUGGUGUGACAUGCGUACCCAUUCAGUUGAGAAUUUUUUUAGUGGAAGCACUUGACUAGAUUCCAAUGGUCUAUGUAUAUCAAGCAACCACUUACUACCAGCAGCUAUAGUUUCUCUGAGCACAAACUGCUCAGUAUUAAAUCAACUAAUUAAGAGUCCAGUUUCAUUUGCUUGUUUUCAGGUACAAAACAGACACUGGUUCAGAGUUCUAACAUUUUCUUACAACAUGUAGCAUUCCUACCAUGCUCGUCAAGAACUUGUUUAUUACCCAAAGUAGUAUACUUAAUUGUUUGUAUUUUCUUCAUUGCUAGCAGAAGAUGAAGAGUAUGCACUUUAUUAUAGCGACAACUGGCAGGAACUAUCUUCAGGAUAUGGAGUUAUGGAUGGCAAGAGAUGCUGAUCGGUUUGGUUCGAGUUAAUGAAGAUUGAACAUGUCAGUCUAGAUGCUCAUGUCACGAGCUUAGGUUUUUGUUUUAUGCAACGAAGCUUUGAUCUGUUUUGUGUACAAAGCACAUGUGUUCUCGUUAAACACAUGUAUACAAGCUGAAGAUAAGCAAUGAAUGCCAUUCUGAUAUGCAAUACUUGGAACAAAGCAUAUCUAUAUACAUUAUCAUGUAUUCCUUGGAUGGUGCUCUUUGUAAAGCAACAUUAUUGAUUUAAUAUAUGAG